rnacentral:rRNA from 1 species
GCUGUCGGCCAUAGGCGAUGGGGAAACACCCGUUCCCUUUCCGAACACGGAAGUUAAGCCCAUCGCCGCGCUACCGAGUACUGGUGCCGAGAGGCAUCGGGAAAGGGGCGUGCUGACAGCG